AGUGAACAGAUCUCAUAGUAACAGAUGCCACAGUAAUUUCUUUAGUGGUAAUGUGUGCUCAGAGCUGAACUCAGUCCCUCCUGAGGCCAGCGAACCUGGAGGAAGAGAGUGGAUUCUUGGCCUCUUCUCAUAGAGCCAGGGCCCCUAGGUGCCCAUCAGAUGGCUCUCAGCCCUUCUUUCUCCAUCUCAGAGCGAGGCUGCGGUGAGGUCUCAGCUCGAGGCAGACUACAUCGACUGGCAAUUCGGGAGUUUCUCAAAGGAACCCCACAGCUACGUCUGUUCCAGGAACACAGAGGAACAGGGGCCCCUCAGUCUGGCUGACGUAAGGGAUGGAAGUGCCCCAGUGUUAGCCACACUCAGAAGGCAACAGGCUCGCUGAACUCCAGCUCGACCAUCUGGGAUCCUUGCCGACGGGGAGCAGACGGUUGUCGUUUUGUACAAUAACAGUCACAAACUAUAUAGUGAAACAUACUGAAAAUGUCCACAACGGCUCCACUGGGCACGGUGAGAUCUACCAAGCAUGAAUUUUUCUCAGCAAACUGCAUCUCUUCCGGGUUGGAGCACGUCUGGCCCCUGCUGUUGAUACCAAGGGUUGUUGAAACUUGUCUGUUGCUGAAACGUGAAUCCAAAGACCAACUCUGGAUGCCCGGGCCUUGGACACACCCAUUCCUGCGGGCGGGGUUGAAGGGAAAUGGUACCACUGCAUUCCUCGUGAUUAAAUCCUCUAUCAGGUCAUAGAGUUCAAACAAAACACUCAAAACAGGGAGAGGCGGGGAGAAACCACAGCUCUCCCAGCUCAGGAUAAUUAUUUCUUAGCACACAUUGGAGUAUCCUUGGUGAGAAAGCAUGGCGGCAUUAUUGGUUUGCCCACUUGCAAGUUUUUGGAGCUCACCCUAACCUAAUUAAGUGUCUGUUUACCCUUAGGCCUGGCACUCUCUCUGGGUGAAGUGACAGCUGGAACGCUGCAAGCAGCCACAUGAAGGGCAAAAUAUUGGUUGGUUGCUGCUGUUUUCAGCCUUGCCAGAGUAAACAAUGAGGGGCUUAGCCCUAUCGGCUCAUUAAUCUUCAAAGAUGCUGGCCUACACGUGUCACUGCUCAUGGUCUGAGACAGUGGUGUGGGCUUGAUGAAGAAUACAGGUUGGGGGAAGGUGCUGGAGCUGACCUGUUCCACCUGAAUCAGAGGAGCCGGGGGGGAUUACAUGUUUGGUCCUAUUUAAGCAAAUGUACAAAGCAGUGUCGUCAGCCUUAUAGUGUAUACAGGCACCACCUCUAGAAAUUCAUUGACAUGUGGAUUUUUGCUGCACCCUCAGAGAUUCUGAAUCCAGUUUUGGGGGACACAGGACUCUGCAUUCUUUUUUAAGUUCUUUUUUUUUUUUGAUGUGUACCAUUUUUAAAGUCGUUAUUUAAUUUGCUACAAUAUUGCUUCUGUUUUAUGUUUUUGGUGUUUUGGCCACAAGGCAUGUGGGAUCUUAGCUCCCAGACCAGGGAUCGAACCUGUACCCCCUGCAUUGGAAGGCGAAGUCUUAACCACUGGACUGCCAGGGAAGUCCUGGAAUCUGCAUUUACAAGCAUUUUACCAUUUGAUUCAGAUGAAGAUGGUUUGAGAAGUACUAGUUUAAAGAAUAGAGAGUCGAGAAUGUUAGAACUGAAUAUAAUCCUGGAAGACUGUUUCUAAUUUUAAAGAUAAUUUAACAUUUAGCAGCAAAGGGACAGGACCCAUGAAAGCAAGCUAUACAAUCUUAUUGAAAGACGCAAAACAAACACCAAAAGAAACUGGGAGGUUUACCUUGUGUGUGAUGGGAGACUUUAUAAUCAUCAAAGAGAGAGAAGCAGAGAUAGAGAGAGAGAUUUACAUACAUAGAGUCAUGAAAGCAUGCACUCCAAAGUGGUAUCUUCAGAUAAGACUGAAGGAGAAACAGAUGAGAUUAGUAACCUUCUUCUUGGUUAGCUUUAGAUUCUAGGCAUCAUGCAUGAAGAGACUUGUCAAAUUUUAAUAUGAGGGUUGUCUUUCCACUUUGUUUAUGGUUUCCUUUUCUGGGCAAAAGCUUUUAAGUUUCAUUAGGUCCCAUUUGUUUAUUUUUGUUUUUAUUUCCAUUUCUCUAGGAGGUGAGGAUCUUACUGUGAUUUAUGUCAUAGAAUAUUCUGCCUAUGUUUUCCUCUAAGAGCAUUAUAGUGUCUGGCCUUACAUUUAGGCCUUUAAUCCAUUUUGUUUAUUUUUGUGUAUGGUGUUAGGAAGUGUUCUAAAUUCAUUCUUUUACAUGUAGCUGUCCAGUUAUUCCCAGCACCACUUAUUGAAGAGGCUGUCUUUUCUCCACUGUAUACUCUUGCCUCCUUUAUCAAAGAUAAGGUGACCAUAUGUGCGUGGGCUUAUCUCUGGGCUUUCUACCCUGUUCCAUUGAUCUAUAUUUCUGUUUUUGUGCCAGUACCAUACUGUCUUGAUUACUGUAGCUUUGUAGUAUAGUCUGAAGUUAGAAUGGGAUAAAAUAUUUUCAAACAAAGCAACUGACAAAGGAUUAAUCUCCAAAAUAUACAAGCAGCUCAUGCAGUUCAGUAUCAAAAAAACAAACAACCCAAUCCAAAAAUGGACAGAAGACCUAAAUAGACAUUUCUCCAAAGAAGAUAUAUAGAUUGCCAACAAACACAUGAAAGGAUGCUCAACAUCACUAAUCAUUAGAGAAAUGCAAAUCAAAACUACAAUGAGGUAUCACCUUACACAAGUCAGAAUGGCCAUCAUCAAAAAAUCUACAAACAAUAAAUGCUGGAGAGGGUGUGGAGAAAACGGAACCCUCUUGCAGAGUUGGUGGGAAUGUAAGUUGGUACAGCCACUAUGGAGAACAGUAUAGAGGUUCCUUACAAAACUAAAAAUAGAACUACCAUGUGACCCAGCAAUCCCACUACUGGGCAUAUACCCUGAGAAAACCAUAAUUCAAAAAGAGACAUGUACCACAAUGUUCGUUGCAGCACUAUUUACAAUAGCCAGGACAUGGAAGCAACCUAAGUUUCCAUCAAUAGAUGAAUGGAUAAAGAAGAUGUGGCACAUAUAUACAAUGGAAUAUUAUUCAGCA
ensembl:lncRNA